rnacentral:rRNA from 1 species
CAAUAGCGUAUAUUAAAGUUGUUGCGGUUAAAAAGCUCGUAGUUGGAUUUCUGCCGAGGACGACCGGUCCGCCCUCUGGGUGUGUAUCUGGUUUGGCCUGGGCAUCUUCUUGGAGAACGUAGCUGCACUUGACUGUGUGGUGCGGUGUCCAGGACUUUUACUUUGAGGAAAUUAGAGUGUUUCAAGCAGGCUCACGCCUUGAAUACAUUAGCAUGGAAUAAUAAUAUAAGACCUUGGAUCUUUUUUGUUGGUUUCUAGAACCAAGGUAAUGAUUAAUAGGGAUAAUUGGGGGCAUUCGUAUUCAACUGUCAGAGGUGAAAUUCUUGGAUUUGUUGAAGACGAUCUACUGCGAAAGCAUUUGCCAGGGAUGUUUUCAUUGA